AUAGACAAAGGCAAGACAACCUCUGACGUAUCCCAGUUUUGCAAAGCAGCUGUCAUGUAUCAAAAGGCCCUAACAAGAUGUGGGGAUUCUGGGAUAAAACUGACUCUGAAGCAUCGGAUUAGAUAUAUGGACAAGAUCAGGGAAGCGUUGGAAAAGGUCAGUUAUCAAUUCUUCUUUUUCCUCAUUGUGCUUGUGGUAAAAUCGUUAGUGAUGUGCAAUCCAGUAAUGCUAAAUGCGUCAUGCGACUACAAAGUUCACAACGUACAUUUUCCACAUGGCAUGUAAUACACUUAAAAUCACUUAACACACAAAAUGCAUUCUCUCACACUCGCUCACACACACACGGGCGCGAGCACGCACAUGCACAAGUGCAUGCAUGUGCAUUGGUAUUUCCAACUUAUACAAGUAUGUAGAGCUUGACAGAUAUAUCUUGUACCAUGCAGAAAUCAUCAACGAAGAAACAAAGGCCAGGAGAAAGAAGUCCAACCGUGAAGCAACAGUCCGAAAACAUCACAAGCAAUGACAUCAUUCAGGACAAUCAUCUCCAUCCAGACAUGACAAGCGACGAAACGGAGCCAUGGAUGAGCAGUUUUGCAUCUGAAAGUGAUGUAGACGAGAAAAACAAUGAUGGAUUGUACAAAGACAAACUUCAGGAAGGAGAAUCAUCCCUUGCCAGGGGAGACCUGGACUUAGCAGAGCAGCAGUUUGCAGAUGCACUCAAGCUCGUACAUGUCAGAG